AUUGAACGCUGGCGGCAGGCUUAACACAUGCAAGUCGAGCGAGCGGCGGACGGGUGAGUAAUGUCUGGGAAACUGCCUGAUGGAGGGGGAUAACUACUGGAAACGGUAGCUAAUACCGCAUACCAUCAGAUGUGCCCAGAUGGGAUUAGCUAGUAGGUGGGGUAAUGGCUCACCUAGGCGACGAUCCCUAGCUGGUCUGAGAGGAUGACCAGGCACACUGGGACUGAGACACCGGUCCAGCGCCCACGGGAGGGAACCGGGGGGAAUAUUGCAAAAUUGGGCGAAGGCCUAUUGCGCCCUGCCGCGGUUGUGAAGAAGGCCUUUGGGUUGGAAAGCACUUUCAGCGAGGAGGCGUUACUCGCAGAAGAAGCACCGGCUAACUCCGUGCCAGCAGCCGCGGUAAUUC
rnacentral:rRNA from 1 species